AAAGGACUGAAUGAUAGGAUUGAUUUCACCUGUUAUCUUUAGUGAAUUGAGUAUUUCAGUUCACCAUGCAAGCCAUAGGGCACUUGCAACUUGAGAAAAAACACAGAGCCCUGCAAGAGUAACGACGUGUAAGUCAAUUGUAUUUUUGUAAACUCUUUUAUGUACUAGAUUAGGAAUUGGAAAACAUAUGGGGUGUUUAUACAUAUCUAUUUUGGUAUAACCAUCAUAGUUACUAUUAGUAUGUACCUAUGUUUAUGUUUAGAAAUUGACUACAUUGAAAAGCCUUGAACUGAAGCAGGACCAAGCAAGUAAUUAAGAUUAAAGAGACAGCAAUAAAUCCACAACAUACCGCAGAAGAUCCUGAGAAUCUCACCUAGUAUUGCAUCUUGCCAGCAUACUACAAGGGAGAGAAGACUCCCUUCUCAGGAGUCAGAGUAUUACCCAACAUCGGCAUCCAGAAAGCAGGGAGGAGGGAAGCAAGAGAAAACAAAAAGCAGACAAGAAAGGUUGUGAGUAUGGCCAUUGCAAAGAUGAACCCUGCUGAGAACGGGUUUAUCCUACUAAGUCAGGUAUGGCAAAUCUUUGGCCCUCCAGGUGUGUUGGACUUCAACUCCUACAACUCCU
rnacentral:lncRNA from 11 species